UAUCAGUACACGCCUUCAUAAGGUGAAACCGCGAACGGCUCAUUAUAACAGCUAUAAUUUACUGGACCUUGAGCAGUUACUCGGAUAACUGUGGUAAUUCUAGAGCUAAUACGUGCACCGAAGCUGUUCCUCACGGAGCAGUGCAUUUAUUUGAGCAAAACCAGGCGGCUUCGGCCGUUUCUGCUGACUCAGAAUAACUAAGCUGAUCGCAUGGGCUUGUCCCGGCGACGUGUCUUUCAAGUGUCUGCCUUAUCAACUUUCGAUGGUAGUGUACGUGACUACCAUGGUGUUGACGGGUAACGGGGGAUCAGGGUUCGACUCCGGAGAAGGGGCCUGAGAAAUGGCCACUACGUCUAAGGAUGGCAGCAGGCGCGCAAAUUACCCACUCUCGGCGCGAGGAGGUAGUGACGAAAAAUAACAAGGCCGUUCUCUUUGAGGCCGGCCACUUGGAAUGAGUACAACUCAAA
rnacentral:rRNA from 1 species